GUGUGUGUAAGUUUAGAGCACACUGGAUCUUCACCAAGGACAUGCAUGAAACGGAAAGGCAUUUAAGAUGAAGUAGCAAAUUUUUGAACAUUGAACUUAAUUGGUGGCUGUAUGUGUUUAUGUGAAUAGUUACGUAGGUGAUAGUUUUUGUUUUAACACGAUGAUGAUGGCCAGCUGAAUUCGUGAGCACGUGUGCACUGUGGCAAAAACCUCAAAACAAAAACCAAAAACGAGGCCUCCGAGAGCUCCCUGGGUCUCAGCCCUGUGAGGGCGCACAGUCGGGGCUGUCUGAAGCAGGAAGCAGGCCCUCCGCAGACAGGGUAAUGCACACUCCAUGCGUUCAGCCCGUUCUCCCGGUCAUCACGGUCUGGUUUCUUAACAUCCUGAAGGAAGAUGCGGCCACCUCGUGGAUUCUGCAG